rnacentral:lncRNA from 1 species
AUGUCGACAUCUCUAAGCAUUCUUUAUUAUUCCCAGAAAAAGGCACCUUUGGAUACAGAAGCCAACUGUGGAACAAAUCAGCAUGUUCUUGAGUGCUCAUGGUUUAAUGUUUUUUUCAGAAACAGGCAAAGUAAUAGCUGCUGUAUGAAUUCUGCCAGAGUCCAACACCCAUGUUGCAUAAGGGUUGAGGAGACUGAUCUGGAAUCCCAGUUGACAACACGAAGAUGAACUCUCAGGGCUUGAGGUCUUGGCCAUACAUCAUACAGAUCUGUAAGUGGCUGUUCAUUAACAUAGGAACAAGUUCGAGUUGAGACUGUGGUGUCCUAGCAACAGAAAGCAAAAUGUAUGCAAUUGUUUAAUGCCUUAAUUUACCAACUCCUUCAUUUUGCAUUCCACAUGAAUUUGAGAUGACAGCACCAAUAUAUAUAUAUUUGUAUGCUUGUAUAUAUACAUAGAUAUUUUAUUCAGUUAUAGGUAUAUGCAAAUACACACACACAUACAUAUACAUGUGUGCAUUCCUAGAAUAUAUGGAUACCUCAAAUUAUGAUCAGAAAAGAUUUGUUCAAAUUUCCAUUUAUGCUGUUGUGGAGGAAAGAAAUAGAUUUAAAUGCAGAAACAGGUGAAGAGUCCAUUAUCAAAUGAGUGACCUUGAUAUCAUGGCAGUUUGCUGCAUCAUAGUGUUAGUCUAAGAACCUUUAUAAAAAUAUCUUUUUACAAAACAAGGCAAGACAUUAAUGUGUUUAAAAUAUCCUCUAAUGAAUUCUGAUUCUUUCUGUGCUGAAAUCCAAGUGCAUUUACAGAUGGUUUUACCAUAUUCUAUCCUAUCGCAAAGAAAGAAAAAAAGCUGAAAUUCAGCUGGCUGGUUUCUCACUACUUCUCUAAUCUGUCUAUAAUUUUGUGCAUUUAGUCUGUGGGAGAGGUUGGAUAAUUAAAGAAUUCCAUUACCUCAACUGCUUAAGCAUUGUUACCUCCAGAGUUGGAUUCAAAGAAGACUUUUUUUUUGUUGUUUGACUUUUGAGGGAAGAACCUGUUUUUGCAGAGAAGGAUUUCAAAAGCAAUAAGAGAAGAAUAUGAACAUAAGAGAAGAAUAUAAACAUGCACAUAAACUGAGAGGAUGCAUUCUAGCUUUGUGUUUAUAGCACUGACAUUUUAUUUUACCUCUUUCUCAUCAUUGUUGAAAAAGUGUUUUGUAUGACUUUUAGAAGGAAGUUCAAUGGUUCCUUCAAGAGAUGUUUCUCAAAAGGCAGAAUUGGAAAGCCCACACUUAUCUCCUACUAUUGAUCAUUUACAUCUGAGUCUGUGCCUGAAACAAGGGACAGUAAUGGCCUAUAGGUACUACUUCCACCCUACAGGGCUGUAUAAGGCAUGGUCAGCAAGCUACAGAGCUAUAUGGAAGAAGAAGAAAUAAAUUUAUUCUGGAAUACUUUUCA